GGUCUUGUAGCUCAGUUGGUUAGAGCGUUGUUCUUAUGAGUCAAAGGUUGCGGGUUCAAGCCUUGUCGGGACCA
rfam:Ipomoea nil DNA, scaffold: scaffold2782, cultivar: Tokyo-kokei standard.